rnacentral:lncRNA from 1 species
CGGCAACUAAGCUGUCACUACUUCGUCUUAUUGUGGAUAUUGAGAAUCUGGGAGCUUGGGACAGGUCAGCCAACGUGCGCCCCUUGACGUUGACUUCUUUUAGUUUUCCGAAUUGCGUUGAUAUUGUGGAGCUUGCCUACUGUCCUCUGAUCUUGUACGUUGUCUGCAAUCACGUUGAAGGUGGCCUAUCAAUCCACAAAAAUAACACUUUGGGCGCCCCUGACGUUUUUGCUUCAAAGAUUCAGCUAUUGGGCCAAGAUAUUUCUCGAAUUGGGCGGCCAACACCUGGGACAACGUAUUUAGAUCGCCUUCUUCCACUUCAGCAACACCUCUUAUUUGAUGGACUUUGCGUUGAUGGCGGGACACAUUCUUCACGGCUUCGUACUCCAAUGCUGCGACAAUAGCGUCCUUCAAUAUUUGGUAGCGUCCUCUUCCUAGUCGUAAUGUUUGCUGGAGGUCUACAUCUCGCAGGCCAUCAAGGAAACAUUGGAUGGUAAACUGGUGUAGAAACUCUUCAGGGGCUUCGGGCCAAGCGAGUCGUGCCAUCUUUUCUACUUCUGCUCCGUAUUCUUGCACAGAUUCGUUGGAGCCUUGGAUACGCACUUUUUGUUGGCUCUGGUAUACUU